rnacentral:rRNA from 1 species
CAGUCGCCGCGGUAAGACAGAGGAUGCAAGCGUUAUCCGGAAUGAUUGGGCGUAAAGCGUCUGUAGGUGGCUUUUCAAGUCCGCCGUCAAAUCCCAGGGCUCAACCUUGGACAGGCGGUGGAAACUACCAAGCUGGAGUACGGUAGGGGCAGAGGGAAUUUCCAGUGGAGCGGUGAAAUGCGUUGAGAUCGAAAAGAACACCAACAGCGAAAGCACUCUGCUGGGACGACACUGACACUAAGAGACGAAAGCUAGGGGAGCAAAUGGGAUUAGAUACCCGCGUAGUCCCUGUCUCUUAUAC